CCAGUUUCAGUUAUGCAUUUUCCAUUAUCAUAUGUGUCCCUCUCUACCAGCGAGUACCCAGAAACACCAUAGUUUCUCUGAACAGGUAUGAACUGUUUGCUGUCAAUGGUGAGGUUGACAUCUUGGCUCAAACCAUUAAUGAAUCUAACAGCUGCCAAACCAUUUUCUGGCUUUGCUUCCAAGUCUGUAAUUAAGCGACUCGA
rnacentral:lncRNA from 1 species